CAAAAACAUUGCUUCUCGACACAAACAUAAGAAGUACCUCCUGCCCAGUGAUAAUAUUCAACGGCCGCGGUAUCCUAACCGUGCAAAGGUAGCAUAAUCAUUUGCCCAUUAAUUGUGGGCUAGAAUGAACGGAUAAACGUAAUAUAACCUGUCUCAUUUAGUUGCAUAAAAAUUAACAUUCAGUUGAAGAUGGCUGAAUAUAAUCGAAGGACAAGAAGACCCUAUAGAGCUUAAUUACAAUGGUUAAAUAGUAUAACCAAAAAAUUCGGUUGGGGCGACCAUGGGUACAAUUAAUCACCCAAGUAAAUAAGACACAUAUGUCAAAUAUUUGAUCCUGAAAAUCAGAUUAAAAAAAUAAGCUACCUUAGGGAUAACAGGCUAAUCCCACUAAAGAGUCCUUAUCAAUAGUGGGGGUUGGCACCUCGAUGUUGGCUUAGGGUAUCUUUACGGCGCAAAAGUCGUAAAUAGACGGUUUGUUCAACCAAUAAAACCCUACGUGAUCU
rnacentral:rRNA from 1 species